rnacentral:rRNA from 1 species
UACGAAGGGGGCUAGCGUUGUUCGGAGUUACUGGGCGUAAAGAGCGUGUAGGCGGUCAGGUAGGUCCGUUGUGAAAACUCGAGGCUCAACCUCGAGACGCCGAUGGAAACCAUCUGACUAGAGUACGAAAGAGGAUCGCGGAAUUCCCGGUGUAGAGGUGAAAUUCGUAGAUAUCGGGAGGAACACCGGUGGCGAAGGCGGCGAUCUGGGUCGAUACUGACGCUGAGGCUCGAAAGCUAGGGGAGCAAACAGG